rnacentral:rRNA from 1 species
ACCGGAUAAGUCUUUACGGAGAAAGCUUUAUGCACCAUUGGAUGAGCCCGCACUUGAUUAGUUUGUUGGUAGGGUAAUGGCCUACCAAGACUAUGAUCAAUAGCUGAUUUGAGAGGAUGAUCAGCCACAUUGGGACUGAGACACGGCCCAAACUCCUACGGGAGGCAGCAGUGGGGAAUCUUGCACAAUGGAGGAAACUCUGAUGCAGCGAUGCCGCGUGAGUGAAGAAGGCCUUUGGGUUGUAAAGCUCUUUCGUCGGGGAAGAAAAUGACUGUACCCGAAUAAGAAGGUCCGGCUAACUUCGUGCCAGCAGCCGCGGUAAUACGAAGGGACCUAGCGUAGUUCGGAAUUACUGGGCUUAAAGAGUUCGUAGGUGGUUGAAAAAGUUGGUGGUGAAAUCCCAGAGCUUAACUCUGGAACUGCCAUCAAAACUUUUCAGCUAGAGUAUGAUAGAGGAAAGCAGAAUUUCUAGUGUAGAGGUGAAAUUCGUAGAUAUUAGAAAGAAUACCAAUUGCGAAGGCAGCUUUCUGGAUCAUUACUGACACUGAGGAACGAAAGCAUGGGUAGCGAAGAGGAUUAGAUACCCUCGUAGUCCAUGCCGUAAACGAUGUGUGUUAGACGUUGGAAAUUUAUUUUCAGUGUCGCAGGGAAACCGAUAAACACACCGCCUGGGGAGUACGACCGCAAGGUUAAAACUCAAAUGAAUUGACGGGGACCCGCACAAGUAGUGGAGCAUGUGGUUUAAUUCGAAGAUACGCGCAGAACCUUACCAACACUUGACAUGUUCGUCGCGACUCUAAGAGAUUAGAGUUUUCGGUUCGGCCGGACGAAACACAGGUGCUGCAUGGCUGUCGUCAGCUCGUGUCGUGAGAUGUUGGGUUAAGUCCCGCAACGAGCGCAACCCUCACUUUUAGUUGCCAUCAUUAAGUUGGGCACUCUGAAAGAACUGCCAGUGAUAAGCUGGAGGAAGGUGGGGAUGACGUCAAGUCCUCAUGGCCCUUACGUGUUGGGCUACACACGUGCUACAAUGGCAUCUACAACAGGAAGCAAAACGGCAACGUUAAGCAAAUCCCGAAAAGAUGCCUCAGUUCGGAUUGCACUCUGCAACUCGAGUGCAUGAAGCUGGAAUUACUAGUAAUCGUGGAUCAGCGUGCCACGGUGAAUGCGUUCCCGGGUCUUGUACACACCGCCCGUCACACCAUGGGAGUUGGUUCUACCUUAAGGCAAGGUUUUAAACCCUUGACCACGGUAUAGUCAGCGACUGGGGUGAAGUCGUAACAAGGUAGCCGUAGGGGAACCUGCGGCUG